GUUUUGUGCUUAUUUAAUGCCAGGUAUCGUCGACGAUGUCGUCGAUUCCACCUAAACCACCGGACCCAUGUGCUCGCGUGCAGGAUAGUGACUGUUCUGGCCAGGAAGUAGAGAUGGCUGAUAUGCCGCCCCCAAGCCGUAAACGCCGAGACGAUUUAGAUACUAAUAUUGAUAUCCCCAAAAAAACUAAAAAUUCCCCAUCUGACUCACUGCAAAACAUUUGGGUUCAUGAAAACUUCGCCGACUCGAAAAAAUACACUGAUAAUGACGACGGUCCCUUCAUUGUCCAUGUAUCUCGUCAGGAAACUCACCCCAAAGCAGGUACCACCAUUAGCCCAAUCCAAUUUGGCAAGUUAUUAACUCAUGCAAAAGUUACUGAUGUUGCACGAAAUGGAGUUAAGUUGGCGGGUCGCAACCGCAUUUCCAUUGAGUUCUUGUCCCCAGAGGCGGCAAAUAACUUCCUGACAAACCCCUUGUUAGAGUCAAGUAGAUUCUCUGCCAUUAUACCUACUUAUAAUAUCACAAGGAUGGGAAUCAUCCGUGGUGUUCCAACAGACUGGAGUUUAUCUGAGUUUGUGGACAACGUUGAACUCCCAGAUGGCUGUGGCCACAUUUGUAAAGUCCGUAGACUAAACCGGAAAGUCUCAAAAGAUGGUGUUAAUGAAUGGAUCCCUACAGGCACUGUUGUUGUUACAUUUACGGGUCAAACACUCCCCCAAAAAAUUUUCUGUUUUUAUACUUCACUUCCAGUGGAAGUGUACGAGCUACCCACCAUUCAAUGCCACAAUUGUUGUCGAUUUGGACACAUUGCCAAUGCCUGUCGCUCCAAUAAACCUAGGUGCUUCCGAUGCGCCCAACCUCACGCUGGGAACAACUGUUCCGUUCCAGAGGCAAAUGCUACUUGUUUACUUUGUUUAGGUAGACACUUUGCCACAAGUAAAUCUUGCCCAGAGCUUGGCCGUCAAAAAGUAAUUAAAAUUACUAUGGCUCAAGAGAACAUCUCCUUUCCAGAGGCCUCAGCUAAGGUGCCACCGGUUCGCCGUGCGUAUGCUGACGUGGCAAAAACUUUGUUUGCCCCAGUAGCUCCUCCACAAUCCCCUCCAUCUCCCCAUAGAUUUAUAUCAUACUCACAGCCUCACAGCCAAUCAAGUUAUCGGAAAACAGUUUUUACUCCGGUAGUGCGCCCAAGAGCUCCCUCGAGUCCGGGAUAUGACCGUGUAGCCCAUCAGGCCUUAAUUUCAGAUAGAGAUCCGCCAGCCCCUAAUAAUGGGGUUUGUUUAAAUAACUCUCCUACUCCGAGAGGAGAUAAUCUGUUGGACCUUUUAGUGUCAAUGCUCGUCAAUAUAUUGAAUAGAUAUAGUGAUUUUUCACCACCGUCCCACAUUGCCAAUUUGUUAGGAGACUUGUCAAAUGUUAUUAACAAAAUUCAAAAUUAUUCAGUGGAACGCUCAGAGUCUACGUCCUAAGAAACAUGAAGCCUUACUCAUGAUUAAUUCUCACGAUCCAGGAGUCUUUGCUAUCUCGGAGACUUGGUUUAUACCGGGAUCCUAUUUUAGGCUACCGGGCUUCUCCUGUCUCCGGGAUGACAGAGCUGAUGGAUAUGCUGGUGUUGCAUUGUUUAUUAAGUCUACAUUUACGUACUCCCGUAUUCCUCUUCCAACUAUAACAGGUAUCAAUGCCAUUGCUGCCAAAAUCCAAAAUGUAACCAUUAUUUGCAUCUAUAUCCCUAAUCCCAGCGUAAUUUCAAUUUCGGACAUUGAGUCAAUUUUCUCCCACGUCUCUGGACCUGUUAUUAUUGUAGGGGAUUUUAACAUGUCACAUUUAAUAUGGGGUGGUCCUGAUUAUGACUCCAUCGGCUGUGAUCUGGUCGACUUGAUGGACUCCAGGAAUCUUUGCCUCCUUAACGAUGGCUCUCCAACGAGAUAUACUGCUCCGGACCGCAGAGUCAGCGCUGUUGACCUAUCUAUGUGCUCACCGGAUAUUAGAUCUAUGAUCUCUUGGCAAAUCCUACAAGAGAAAUUUGGAAGCGAUCACUACGUUAUCGUUAUUUCGUUUGACCAACCAUCCCCUUCCCUCAGGUCUUUCGAACCCUUAUUAAAAUAUCGUCUGUCUCGCGCAAAUUGGGAUAAUUAUUCUAUUGAGGCUGAUGCCAAUUCUCAUUUUGUCCCUCUCAUCAACAAUUCCAACGUUGAGGAAGGCUAUAACCUUUUUGUUGAAGGCAUUUGUAAAGCUGCAAAUAAUAACAUCCCAAUUAAAAAGUCUAAGAUUGGUAGUAAAGUGUCUCCCCCUUGGUGGGAUGCUCAUUGUUCUGAUAUGUACAAACGCCGUAAAGAGGCAGAAAUUAACUACUGCCUUACGAUGACCAUAGAGAACUAUCUGCUUUUAAAAAAAAUUUCAGCAACUGCCAAACGUUAUUUCAAAAAAAAGAAACGGUCCUCAUGGGUCCGAUUCUGCCAGUCUCUUUCCCCCCGGACUCCUCCCUCCUUGUUAUGGAGAUCCAUAAAACGUUUUAGGGGUUCUUUUUCUGGUCGUAGUUGCGACUCGAAUGAUUAUUCAAAAUGGAUACAUGAAUUCACAAACAACCUGGCUCCUUUCUCGGCUGCUAACCGUGACUGCUUAUCUUCGCCAUACCCUUCUGCUUUUCCUCAUCACUCACUCAAUGAUCCAUUUUCUAUGGUAGAGCUCCUAUCAUCCCUUCAAUCCCUUAGGGACUCAUCGCCUGGUAUAGAUGGUAUCCCAUAUUCCUUUCUUAAAAAAUCUGGCCAAUUUACAAAAUCUUUAUUCCUUUCAAUAGUUAACAAAUUUUUUGAAACAGCUUUUGUUCCAGAGUCUUGGAAAAACCAGAUAAUUAUCCCAAUUUUAAAACCAGGGAAAAACCCUUCGAAAUGCUCUUCCUACAGACCUAUUGCUCUUUCGUCAACCCUUUGCAAGACCAUGGAACAUAUGUUAAAAAGAAGGUUGGAGUGGUUUGUUGAAAGUAAGAAUAUUUUAGCUAAAACUCAGUAUGGGUUCCGUAAAGGUUUGAGCACCACUGAUAGUAUAGCUAUUCUAACCACAGACAUUAGAAUUGCCCUCUCCAACAACCAGUUCUUAGUGGGAGUAUUCCUCGAUAUCUCCGCUGCCUAUGACAAUGUCCUGCUUCCGGUUCUCAGGCAGAAACUGCUCAAUCUGAGUAUCCCUGUGAGGUUAGCAUAUUUCGUAUGUAACUUGUUGAUGGAGAGAUCAAUACAGGUUCGCGUCCAAGGUUCCCUUCUGGAACCAAGGCGUGUAUGGAGAGGUUUACCGCAGGGUUCUGUUCUUAGUCCCCUGCUUUACAGCCUUUAUACUUACGACCUAGAACUAUGUGUUAAUUCUUUUUGCAGUGUCCUCCAGUAUGCUGACGAUCUAGUCUUAUAUGUUUCGUCUGACUCGUUAGAAGAGGCAACUACCAAACUUAACCAAGCUCUCUUAUACCUCGAAGAUUGGCUGUCAGAUCAUGGCCUGUCCCUGUCCGUAGGGAAGAGUUCCGCGGUUGUAUUUACUAGAAAAAGAUCUUUCCCGGACGUUGACAUAUCCUUUGCGGGCGAACAAAUUCCUGUCCGCCAAGGUGUAAAAUUUUUGGGGAUAUAUUUGGACAAAACUAUGUCAGGCAAAGACCAUCUAAAUUAUAUCGUAGACAAAUGCGAAAAAAACAUUAAUAUAUUACGCUCCCUAUCAGGUGUAUGGUGGGGUUCUCACCCCUACUCUCAAAAACUAGUCUAUAAUGCUAUUGUCCGUUCAAUUUUUGAUUAUGGGUCUCUUGUUUUGGAGCCUUGCAAUAAAACCGCGUUAAGAACUUUAGAUAAAGUCCAAUAUCAGUGCCUGAGGAUUAUUCUGGGUGCAAUGAAAAGUUCUCCCACAAAUGCCCUUCAAGUAGAAGCCUUAGAUCCCCCUCUAGACACUCGUAGAUCUUAUCUCGCUGACAGAUAUUUUUCUAAAAUUAUUCAGUAUAACAAUCACCCUUUAUUACCAAAGCUAGAACUUCUCUCAUCUAUUAUCCCACGCAACCAUUAUUGGUCCAAUAAAGAACAUCCAUGUCUUAUUAAGAGUCUCCAAAAAUUUAAGGCCCUUGAGUAUAAAUGCUUUCAAACAAAUAUAAACCCUCUUUUCUUGACUUCAUUUGAUUCUCUCCUUUUUAAACCGAAUAUCAUGCUCAGUUUUGGAAUAUUAAAGGACUCACCUGGUGCAAAUGCUAUCUUUGAUGACAAAAUUAAUAGUGCAUAUAAUGAUUGGUUGCAUCUUUAUACAGACGCUUCAAAGGCAGAUGAUGGACGGGUUGGUGCCGCUGUCUGGGCACCAAAGUACUCAACCCUUUUAAGUUUCAAAUGUCCUCCAAUAUGUACCGUGUUCACAGGCGAAGCUGUUGCUCUAUUAGAAGCUGUUAAAUUUAUACGUGCCCAUAACUUCCAAAAAACUAUUAUCUUUUCAGAUUCUUUGAGCUGCCUUUAUGCAAUCGACUCAAACCAAUUUACCUCCAUUUCUAAAUCACCUUUAAUCUUACAAGUUAGAGAAAUCUUAUAUGAUUGCCACAUUAAUAACAUUGAAGUAGUCAUUGCCUGGAUACCAAGCCAUACGGGAAUCAGAGGUAAUACAAUACUUAUCCCUGGAAUUGACUUUGGAUAAAUUUAUCAGACAUUCUCUAUGGACAAGUGUCUUUUCUAUACUUGACUCUGGCAGUAAUGGUUGUCUUCUAUACGACGACCGGUUGCCAUUAACCAUAAAGUUGAAGUUGAAGUUGAAGUUGAUUUUUGUUUACCAAAACAAAAAUCAUUUCAUUCGUGUUUAUUAGAAAACUA
rnacentral:misc_RNA from 1 species